rnacentral:rRNA from 1 species
CGGACGGGUGAGUAACGCGUGAACAAUCNGUCCCAGACAGGGGGAUAACACUCUGAAAAACGGGUGCUAAUACCGCAUAAGACCACGUUCUCGCAUGGGAAUGGGGGUAAAAAGAUUUAUCGGUUUGGGGUGAGUUCGCGUCUGAUUAGCUAGUUGGUGAGGUAAACGGGCCCACCAAGGCGACGAUCAGUAGCCGAUCUGAGAGGAUGACCGGCCACAUUGGAACUGAGACACGGCCCAGACUCCUACGGGAGGCAGCAGUGGGGAAUAUUGGGCAAUGGGCGCAAGCCUGACCCAGCGACGCCGCGUGAAGGAAGAAGGUUUUCGGAUUGUAAACUUCUGUCGACAGGGACGAAACAAAUGACGGUACCUGUUGAGAAAGCCACGGCUAACUACGUG